GAUGAACGCUGGCGGCGUGCCUAAUACAUGCAAGUCGAGCGAACAGACGAGGAGCUUGCUCCUCUGACGUUAGCGGCGGACGGGUGAGUAACACGUGGAUAACCUACCUAUAAGACUGGGAUACCUCAGGGAAACUGAUCCCAAAACGGAAUAAUUAAUGCAACGGCUGGGUUGAAAAGUUAAGGCGGUUUUGGCUGUACUUUUUGGUUGGAUCCGGGCCGGAUUAGUAGGUUGGUAAGGUAACGGCUUCCCAAGGCAAGGAUGCGUAGCCGACCUGAGAGGGUGAUCGGCCACACUGGAGCUGAGACACGGUCCAGAGUCCGACGGGAGGCAGCAGUAGGGAAUCUUCCGAGAUGGGCGAAAGCUUGACGGAGCAGCGCCGCGUGAGUGAUGAAGGUCUUCGGAUCGUAAAACUCUGUUAUUAGGGAAGAACAAAUGUGUAAGUAACUAUGCACGUCUUGACGGUACCUAAUCAGAAAGCCACGGCUAACUACGUG
rnacentral:rRNA from 1 species